rnacentral:rRNA from 1 species
AUACAGAGGGUGCGAGCGUUAAUCGGAAUUACUGGGCGUAAAGCGCGCGUAGGCGGUCUAUUAAGUCAGAUGUGAAAUCCCAGGGCUCAACCUUGGAACUGCAUCUGAUACUGAUAGACUAGAGUUUUGGAGAGGGAAGUAGAAUUUCAGGUGUAGCGGUGAAAUGCAUAGAGAUCUGAAGGAAUACCAGUGGCGAAGGCGACUUCCUGGCCAAAAACUGACGCUGAGGUGCGAAAGCGUGGGUAGCAAACGGGAUUAGAAACCCCAGUAGUCC